rnacentral:rRNA from 1 species
ACGACUACGUGCCAGCAGCCGCGGUAAUACGGAGGAUCCGAGCGUUAUCCGGAUUUAUUGGGUUUAAAGGGAGCGUAGGCGGACGCUUAAGUCAGUUGUGAAAGUUUGCGGCUCAACCGUAAAAUUGCAGUUGAUACUGGGUGUCUUGAGUACAGUAGAGGCAGGCGGAAUUCGUGGUGUAGCGGUGAAAUGCUUAGAUAUCACGAAGAACUCCGAUUGCGAAGGCAGCCUGCUGGACUGUAACUGACGCUGAUGCUCGAAAGUGUGGGUAUCAAACAGGAUUAGAUACCCUGGUAGUCCACACAGUAAACGAUGAAUACUCGCUGUUUGCGAUAUACAGUAAGCGGCCAAGCGAAAGCGUUAAGUAUUCCACCUGGGGAGUACGCCGGCAACGGUGAAACUCAAAUGAAUUGACGG